rnacentral:lncRNA from 1 species
AACAACAAUCAUUCACAAGGGGCAAAAAUAAAAAGAAUUUAAAGGUAAAUUCCAAUCCACAUAUAUAACUGACAAACAAGAAAACCUAAACAACAGACUGCAUGAAGUAAAAUGAUUGGAACCCCUAACCCAGUCUCUACUAAAUCCAAAUGAAUCAUCAUGCAAAGAGAGAUGGCAAUUGUUCAAUCAAUCUACAGUAUAAGAAAAUUAGAGGAGAGAAUUGAGCAGCAGUCAACAUACCACUUCCUGCUGACAAUAAUCUUUUGGCGACCUGGGAAUUUGAACUUAGCACGACGAAGAGCCUCCUGGGCAUGCUGACUGUUGCUGUCCUUGCAACGAACAGACAGGAGCACCUGGCCAAUAGCAACCCUGGCACAGACACCUUGGGGCUUACCGAAGGCACCCCUCAUACCAGUCUGAAGCCUAUCGGCUCCAGCACAUGAAAGCAUCUUGUUGAUACGCAGGACAUGGAACGGAUGCACCCUGACCCUCAAGUGGAAAGCAUCCUUUCCAGCAGACUUGGUCAUGUACUUGUUGCAGGCAAUACGGGCAGCCUCAAGAGCUUCACUGGACACAUUCUCCUUCUCCCAGGACACCAAAUGGACACAGAAGGGGAAUUCAUCGACUCCCUUCUUCUUCAUCCCAACAUCGUAGAUCCUGAUCUUGGGGUCAGGGACACCACGGCAGAAACGAGAUUUCGGGUAGGGCUUGUUCUUAAUCUGACGGUAACACCUAGCAGGUCC